GACGAACGCUGGCGGCGUGCUUAACACAUGCUAGUCGAACGAAGUGGCGAACGGGUGAGUAACGCGUAAUAAACCUGCCCUUCAGAGGGGGACACCAGUUGGAAACGAAUGCUAAUACCGCAUACUGAAGGGGGGGAUUGGGUCGGAUUAGCUAGUUGGAGGGGUAACGGCCCACAAAGGCGAUGAUCAGAAGCCGGUCUGAGAGGAUGAACGGCCCCAUUGGGACUGGGACACGGCCCAGACUCCUACGGGGGGCAGCAGUGGGGAAUCUUCCGCAAUGGACGAAAGUCUGACGGAGCAACGCCGCGUGAGUGGUGACGGCCUUCGGGUUGUAAAGCUCUGUUAAUCGGGACGCGGUACCGGAAUAGAAAGCCCCGGCUAACUACGUGCCAGCCGCCGCGGUAAUAC
rnacentral:rRNA from 1 species